UUGGUUGGCUAGAGAAAGAGGAUUGAAGGGUUAACUUAAGAAGCCAGCUAGAAUCUUCAAGGAGGUUCCUUAAAAGAAUACCCAGAAGCCCUAGGGGGUCUGUUAGAAAUAACAGAUACCCUUUGAGUUCUGAUACUCAAAGGGUGGAUGUCUGGACCUUUCCCCUGGGAAACCCUGGAAGAGCUGAGGGAGAAGUAGGCCCACAGCAGGACCUGGAGAGAGCUAGCUGCUGGGAACCUGACAGUGACUGGAUAGAAACAAAGUACAAAGUCCAAUCUCCUUGGCAGGAAAAAAAGAAACAAAACAAAACAAAAAAAAAACAAAAAAACAGAAGCAAAGCAAAAGAUGAAAAAGAACAUUUCUUUGGGAAUAAAAAGGACUCUCUACCUAUGACUCCAUCGGUGUGUAGAAUUCCUGAUAUCUCAACCCUCUCCACAAAUGAAGAUCAACAGCUCUUUAGUGGGUUAGAGUUGCCUGCAGCCCUUGUCCACUUUUAUACAGCCUAUUAUGUAUCAGAGGAACAUUCCUUGGCCUAUCCUCUAUCCACUAGGUCAUGCACUAUUUAAGAAAAGAAAAAAAUGAGCAUUCAUGGUAAAAUAAAAUUCAAGGGUUUGUGAUUACUCCUGUCUUU
rnacentral:lncRNA from 1 species